rnacentral:rRNA from 1 species
GGUUGCGAUCAUACCAGCACUAAUGCAUCUGAUCCCAUCAGAACUCCGCAGUAAGCGUGCUUAGGCGAGAGUAGUACUAGGAUGGGUGACCCCCUGGGAAGUCCUCGUGUUGCAACCCC